rnacentral:rRNA from 1 species
GACGAACGCUGGCGGCGUGCUUAACACAUGCAAGUCGAACGGAAAGGCCUGCUUUCCCUUGUGGUUUGCGGGUACUCGAGUGGCGAACGGGUGAGUAACACGUGAGUGAUCUGCCCCCAACUUGGGUAUAAGCCUGGGAAACUGUGCCUAAUUCUCGAUAGGACCGCAGGGUGGAGCCUGUGGUGGCAAACGUUCUUCUAGUGGUUGGGGAUGAGCCCGCGGCGUAUCAGCUUGAUGGUGGGGUAAUGGCCUACCAAGGCGGGGACGGGUAGCCGGACUGGGAGCGUGCACGGUGGCAUUGAGACAGGGACACGGCUCAGACGCGUGCGAGAAGUAGGAGUGGUGAAUAAAGGGCCGAGAGCCGGAGGCUGAUGCAGCGAGGGCGUGUGGAAGAUGUCGGGAUUGUAGUUGUAUACUACUAGCGACCGAGAGAAAGCCACCUGGUUGUGAGCGUGGUGACGGUACUGGUAGAGGAAGCACCGGCUAACUACGUG